GGGCGAUUAGCUCAGUUGGUUAGAGCGCCACGCUCACAUCGUGGAGGUCGGAGGUUCGAAUCCUCCAUCGCCCA
rnacentral:tRNA from 3 species